GAAAAGGCACAGAAUGCAAACAUUGUUUCAGAAUGCAGGACUUCGACUGUUUUACAGAGGUGCUGUUGUUAUCCCCAUUUUAAGAUAAUGGAAACGAGGCUGUACUAGGAGAGACUACUUUAGCUUACGUUACGGAUUGUGGUGGAGUGAGGGUUCGAACCUUUGACGCUGUGCUCUUUCCACUCCACCCUACUGUACUUCUCCCUGUUUUAUGCUUCACCAAGGGAUUGUUCCAAAAUGGAGAAGCAGAAGUGGGGCAUUUCAGCUGACGAGACUGAAGGUUUAGUUACAAGAAACUCAUUUUUGUCAAUAUGAAUAAAAAAUUUAAAAGUCA